UACAAGAUGUAAUAUCAAAAUAAAACCACAUGUCAUAAUAUUACAUCAUAGAUCUAGAAUUUAAUUUAAUACAUACCUUCAUAGCUCAAGUUAGCAUACAAACGAAAUGCAGUAGAAAAGCAAAUAAAAUCUCCAUGAAGUCCAUCAACACCACAGGCAAAUGUCAAGUAUAGACAUCGUAACCCUACAUCGUAUCACUCACUCGUCGUAUUAAAUCUGCAACAUGAAAUGUUGCAGCCACGAAGGGUCAAUACUUUGAAUGUAUUGGCAAGUUACACACGAGUAAUAAUAAAGCAGACCUACAUGUAUAUGCAUAGUAUAACAAAAGGAAGGCUUGGGGUUUAUUUUGCAAAAAGCUGAUUUUGUCCUCAUGACUACCUAAUAGUCAGAUUUUUAUUUAGUUCUUUUAUUUCUACAAUUAUAUACACAAGGUUGAGUUGGCAAAAUCAACUCCAACCUACCCUUUAUUAAGUUUCCCACAAAUAUUAUUAAGUGUCACAUCUGUCAAGAUCAUCCAACAACUGUAAUGGCAUAGUCCCUCAAAUUUGUCCAUAACCGGGGACACGACUAAUCAUGAUUAGUUUAUACACACUUCAGAGGUCUGUACACUUUAUCCACUGGAAUCAACCCGAAGAUUGGUACAAAGUCUUCCAGAAGCAGUUGCCUAGUCCCACAGGAGGCCCAUCCCAACUAUCAUAGCUACAUCUGCUGGCACAUCUAGGUAAGGUCUCCACAACUGAUCAACUAAGCCAGAGCCCAUAUUAGCCAGUGGUUGUACAUGGAAGCUACUAGUCACUAAGUCUGUCUGAUCAUUUUGAGCCUAGACGACACCCACUUACAUUCAGAGGGUAUAAACCAUGAUGUUCUUGAAACCACCCAGCAAUACCGUUUGGGUGCACUUAGCCAUGGUCCAUGUCCUUAGAAAAGGAACAAGAAACCAUGAUGCAACCCUGUCCGUCCAUAAUCUCGAUGAAUACACAAACAAAUCCCCAUCUACAUGUCAUAACAAAAAUACACUACCACGUUCUACAAUAAGGCCAUACUAGCUGCAUCUCAAUAGCAAUAGCAUAUUCCUACACGUGCAUAAUAUAGUAAUGUGAUAUAGAACUACAUGCAUAGAAAAAACAAUAGGUUGAAGGAUGAUCAAGGUGUAACUUGCCUGGUAUAUUUGAUGAAGAUCGUCACACUCACAAUUUCUGAUAACUCUAUUCGUCACGCUCCGAAC
rnacentral:lncRNA from 1 species